rnacentral:rRNA from 1 species
UACGGAGGGGGCCAGCGUUGUUCGGAAUCAUUGGGCGUAAAGGGCGCGUAGGCUGCUCAGUAAGUCAGUUGUGAAAUCCCUCGGCUCAACCGAGGAACUGCGUCUGAUACUGCUGGGCUUGAGUCCCGGAGAGGGUAGCGGAAUUCCCAGUGUAGCGGUGAAAUGCGUAGAUAUUGGGAGGAACACCAGUGGCGAAGGCGGCUACCUGGACGGGUACUGACGCUGAGGCGCGAAAGCGUGGGGAGCAAACAGG